rnacentral:tRNA from 1 species
CUGCCGCGCCGCGGCGAGUUGGCGGCGCGCCGCCUCCGGUGAGGCGGGCGCUCGCGGCGGCGGUGGCGCGCCGUGCGGCGCGGCGGUGACCGUC